UAUCCAAUGUUAUAAAAUGCGAUUGAAAUUGCACUCGAGAUUAAAAUGGAGUUUUCGAGUCAGUAUCAGAGUGAUGCGGAAUUACUACGUUCGCCAACCCGAAUAGUAGAAUACUAAAAUGGGAACACAUAAGGUAUUCGAAAAUAUUUUAUCCGAACAGUAUUUUAGGUGAAAAAUUGAUCGUCCGAACGUAUUGCAUACGAAAAAUAAUUCAGACGAAAACAGUUUGUCCGAAAAAUAAUAUUUCAUCCGAACUGUAUUUUGACAAAAAAUAAUUCUUCCAAACAAUAUUUUGGUCGAAAAAUAUUUCACAGUAUUUGAUCACCACCAGAGGAAGCUCUCUCGGCCAACUGAGCACUGUACCAUAGGU